rnacentral:rRNA from 1 species
GUGAAGAGGGAAACAACCCUGACCUCCAGCUAAGGCCCCUAAUUCAUGGCUAAGUGGGAAAGCAGGUGAGACGGCCAAAACAACCAGGAGGUUGGCUUAGAAGCAGCCAUCCUUUAAAGAUAGCGUAACAGCUCACUGGUCUAAAUAAGCUGUCUUGCGGCGAAGAUGUAACGGGGCUCAAGCCAUGAGCCGAAGCUGAGGAUGCACAUAGUGCAUGGUAGCGGAGCGUAGUGUGACAUAGUUCCAUGCGUCUUUAGCCUUCUUCGGAAGGCGUUGGACGCAAGGAGCUUUCAGUGAAGCGGGCGCGUGAGCGAUCCCGUGGAGAGAUCACUAGUGAGAAUGAUGACAUGAGUAGCGACAAACAGGGUGAGAGACCCUGUCGCCGAAAGUCCAAGGGUUCCUGCUUAAAGCUAAUCUGAGCAGGGUAAGCCGGCCCCUAAGUCGAGGCAGAAAUGCGUAGACGAUGGGAACCACGUUAAUAUUCGUGGGCCAGGAGGAUGUGACGGAUCAUGAAGGUUGUUCACUCUUAUUGGAUUGAGUGGGCCGCUAAUUGGUUCCUGGAAAUAGCCCUCCAUCAGACCGUACCCUAAACCAACACAGGUGGACUGGUAGAGAAUACCAAGGCGCUUGAGAGAACUAUCUUGAAGGAACUCGGCAAAAUACCUCCGUAAGUUCGCGAGAAGGAGGCCCAGUGUUUACGCAAGUAGAUACUGGGGGCACAAACUAGGGGGUGGCGACUGUUUACUAAAAACACAGGGCUCUGCGAAGUCGCAAGACGACGUAUAGGGUCUGACGCCUGCCCGGUGCCUGAAGGUUAAAAGGAGGGGUGAGAGCUCUGAAUUGAAGCCCAGGUAAACGGCGGCCGUAACUAUAACGGUCCUAAGGUAGCGAAAUUCCUUGUCGGGUAAGUUCCGACCUGCACGAAUGGCGUAACGACUUCCCCGCUGUCUCCAAGAUAGACUCAGCGAAAUUGAAUUGCCUGUCAAGAUGCAGGCUUCCCGCGGUUAGACGGAAAGACCCCGUGCACCUUUACUACAGCUUCACAUUGGCAUUAGGCCGAGCAUGUGCAGGAUAGGUGGUGGGCUUUGAAGCGUGAACGCCAGUUUGCGUGGAGCCUCCCUUGAGAUACCACCCUUGCUCUGCUUGAUGUCUAACCGCGGUCCAUUAUCUGGAUCCGGGACCCUGUGUGGCGGGUAGUUUGACUGGGGCGGUCGCCUCCUAAAGCGUAACGGAGGCGCGCGAAGGUUGGCUCAGAGCGGUCGGAAAUCGCUCGUUGAGUGCAAUGGCAGAAGCCAGCCUGACUGCAAGACUGACAAGUCGAGCAGAGUCGAAAGACGGCCAUAGUGAUCCGGUGGUCCCGAGUGGAAGGGCCAUCGCUCAACGGAUAAAAGGUACGCCGGGGAUAACAGGCUGAUACUGCCCAAGAGUCCAUAUCGACGGCAGUGUUUGGCACCUCGAUGUCGGCUCAUCUCAUCCUGGGGCUGGAGCAGGUCCCAAGGGUACGGCUGUUCGCCGUUUAAAGAGGUACGUGAGCUGGGUUUAGAACGUCGUGAGACAGUUCGGUCCCUAUCUGCCGUGGGUGUAGGAUACUUGAGAGGAGUUGCCCCUAGUACGAGAGGACCGGGGUGAACGAUCCACUGGUGUACCAGUUGUUCCGCCAGGAGCAGUGCUGGGUAGCUAUGAUCGGACAGGAUAACCGCUGAAGGCAUCUAAGCGGGAAGCCCCCCUCAAAACAAGGUAUCCCUGAGG